GUGAGCUCGGAUAGUGAUUUGGAGUCCCCGUUUGAGCGGGGCAGCGUUUUGAGGACGUUCGGAAAGGGAAAGCUCCGAAGGAGUGAUUUUGGAGCGUGUCAUCGGCCUACAGGUCCGGGCACUAGUAGCCAGCGUUGAUCGAGCUUGGAGCAGUUUGAUCCGGAGACGGGAGUGAGCACACGGCGUCUUGUACUAUUUCAGUCUCUAUCUGUGUAUAUAGACUUGUCUUUUACCUUUCGAGACAGUCCAGUCUCUGUUGU